rnacentral:rRNA from 1 species
GUGAGUGACUAAUACGKGAGUAACCUACCUUUAAMUCUGGGAUAARCCUGGGAAACUGGGUCUAAUACCGGAUACGACCGAUCUCCGCAUGGGGUGUUGGUGGAAAGCGUUAUGUAGGGGUUAUAGAUGGGCUCACGGMCUAUCMKCUUGUUGGUGAGGUAACGGCUCACCAARGCGACSACSGGKAGCCGGMCUGAKAGGGUGACCGGSCACACUGGSACUGASACACGGCCCARACUCCUACGGGAGGCAGCASUGGGGAAUAUUGCACAAUGGGCGCAAGCCUGAUGCAGCGACGCCGCGUGAGGGAUGACGGCCUUCGGGUUGUAAACCUCUGUUAGCARGGAAGAAGAGAAAUUGACGGUACCUGCAGAGAAAGCGCCGGCUAACUACGUGCCAUCUUACCCGGUAAUACGUAGGGCGCGAGCGUUGUCCGGAAUUAUUGGGCGUAAAGAGCUUGUAGGCGGUUUGUC